GGGGGUGUGGCUCAGUGGAAAGAGCACAGGCUGGGGAUUCAGAGGGUCAUGGGUUCUAAUCCCAGCUCCGCCA
rnacentral:tRNA from 1 species